AGGCUGCUCCCCUUCUCUUCUUAUGCAGCAUCAAAGCUCUCUGCAUUUGCUUGAACAGAUUUGCAUUUAGGUCAGGACUUACUUGAGAGAAAGUUGGGAUUUUUUCCUCCUGUCUUUUUCUUAACUCUGUAAGGAAGGGUAAUAGCACAAAGGCAGGUGGGAAAAAAGAAAUGUGUGCUAUAAAUAAACAGGUUUGGCACACAGGGAGGACAAAGUCAUUAGUAAGAGAAAAAAAUAACUGAUGUGGUAGCAAGCUACAUCUUCAGCUGAUGUAAAGCAGCCUCUCCCUAUGGAAGCAAUGGGACUGUGUCACUGUCAUCAGCUGAGCUGCUUGGUGGGUCUGCUCCUUUCUGCAGUGCCUAACCUGUCUGCAGCUGGCCCCUUCCACAGCAGCAGCAAAGGAGGAUGGACAACAACUCUGUGUUAUGAAUCUUCAUCUCCAUUCUUUGGCUCCUUGUAGCUGUCUGCCUGGGCUGCCUAAGUCUCUGCUGUGCUCUCUGGAUGCAAAGUGCCAAGAACAAGGUGGCUGUCACAUCCCAGAUGGCCAUUUUGACCUAUGCCAUAGCACUGCAGAACUGUUUGCCCAAUGCCACUGCCUCAUCUCCAGGAUGUAUUGGGAUGGGACACAAACCAGCUGUGAAGGACUCAUGCUGGGAUCAUGGGGACAGGAUGACCUUGUUGUGAGAGUGCUGCUAGCAACUGGGAGACCUGGGUAUAAGUGCUGGUUGCAUUUUAGCGUGUGUGCAUUGCAUUCAUCAGCUCUGUGUCUUUUGGAGCUUCCUUUGGAAAUGGUGAAACACUUCUUCCCACCACUGGUCUUGUUGACCAGUGCUUUUUUUUGUGUUGACCAGAACCUCAACUUUUUCAGAAAAAGUCUCAUGGUGACUUUCUGAAACUUUGCAUGCUGUCCCUUGGAAUAUUCUUAGAACUGUAAAGGUAUGAGUAGAGACUGGUAUUCUCAGCAGUAAGUAUUAACAGGACAGGUGAGAACUGGUGUUUGCAGUAUAGAAUUGGCAAACAUUAAGUUUAGUUGUUAAACUUAGACGCACGUACACUGGAGAGAAAUUCAGGGCUUUAUGAAUUGGGCUUGAAGUCAAAGGUUAAUAGUAAUUUCAUGCAAGAACAACUCACCUGAAUUCUGGGUGUGUCUGAUGCUCCGCAAUAGCUUUUGCAGCAUGCAGAAAUCACAGCCUUGGCAGGGCUGCCAGUGCAAGGCUCUGUAGAUGUGACAGAGGGGGCAGAUCCUGGGGCUUCUGUUCUCUUUCUGAUUCACAGUGAUACAAAUAAGCCCAGGGAAUGACUUGCUGAGAAUUACUAGAUAAUGCCUAGGUGGCAAGCUGGGAAGAGGCAUUUGAAAGAGGCAAGCUCAGCGCUUUUACCACGCAGAGUUACGGUAUUCUUCACAAAGAAGCUGCCUAGACUGGCCGGCUUCAUCUCUAACGAAGCCGUGUUAAUUUCACCCCGUUUUCCGCCUGCCCUUCCCUCUCGCCAAGGUUCGCGGCCCCAGCCUGCCCCCCGCUGGCCACCUGGAGGAUGGCAGGAGUCCCUGCAGCCGCGGUGGCAGCGGGGGACAGCGCAUGGCCCGAGGGCCACCUCCCUCCCUGGCUGGGCGUCAGGAGGGGCUGGCUCCCAGGACCACCGCUUCGGAGGGAUUGCAAAAACCCCGCGCUGCUCAAACCCCCAGCAGAUAAUGCCACAGGGAUGGCUGAAUGGCUGAACUGGGCUAUUCAAGUCAACUCCACCGCUGGACCCAACGUGUGCUUGUUGCUCUCAAGGGCCCCUUUUAUCCUCUUGACAUGACUUUUCUUUAAUUCUUUCUCUUGUGACAUUUGCUCUGAACUCCCACAGGUGAGAGUGUCAUGCCAAUGAUCUGCUGUCACCUCUGGCUGUUGGUGUUAGGCAGUGGCACCCCAGGGCUGAGAUCCUCUACUACUAUAACCCCAGCUUCAACAGAGCACAACCCUGGCUGUCAGGAAUGUGCAAGAGGAGAGGUGUCCUUACAGGAAGGGGCCUGGAUGCAUUAGAGAUGGGAGGAAAGGCCCCUUUAGAAGCCCAGAUGGUCGACCCAAGCCUCAUGGAGAGGCAGAAUGUAGGCUUCACACUGUUCUGAGGCAGAGCAGAAUGGAGUUGGAGGAAAUAGAUUUGAGUUGGUAUUAAACAACUGGAAGAAUAAAC